CUGAAUCUCAUCCGUUCGUAUCUCACUGAAGCAAACAGGCUGAAAGGAAACAGUAAGCUUGUCAAGACAACCUUAUCUGAACUUCAAGAGCUGAUUUAUGAAGCAGAUAAUGUGGUCACGGAUUGCCAAAUCCGCGAAGACUAUCUAAGUAUGAAAGGGAAUCCAUCUUGCUUGCUUCCGUCUCCAAAGGAGAUAUCUUUCAGAUACAUAACUGGAAAGAAACUGACAGGACUUAACAAGAAGAUAGUGAAAAUGCAUGAGAAGCUGAGGACCUUUGUUGGUCCAAUAACAGAACAAACACGAGGUGACGAAAACAUCAGUAGGAGAAGGAUAAG
rnacentral:misc_RNA from 1 species